UGACAGUUUUCUUAAAUUUAUGAACAGGU
rnacentral:sRNA from 1 species